rnacentral:rRNA from 1 species
UUGACCCUCGGAUCAGGUAGGAUACACGCU